GAUGAAGAACGCAGCGAAAUGCGAUAAGUAAUGUGAAUUGCAGAAUUCAGUGAAUCAUCGAAUCUUUGAACGCACAUUGCGCCCGCCAGUAUUCUGGCGGGCAUGCCUGUUCGAGCGUCAUUACAACCCUCAGGCCCCCGGGCCUGGCGUUGGGGAUCGGCGGAGCCCCCCGUGGGCACACGCCGUCCCCCAAAUGCAGUGGCGGUCCCGCCGCAGCUUCCAUCGCGUAGUAGCUAACACCUCGAGACUGGAGAGCGGCGCGGCCACGCCGUAAAACACCCAACUCUUCUGAAGUUGACCUCGAAUCAGGUAGGAAUACCCGCUGAACUUAAGCAUAUCAAUAAGCGGAGGA
rnacentral:misc_RNA from 1 species